rnacentral:rRNA from 1 species
ACUAACGCUGGCGGCGUGCCUAACACAUGCAAGUCGAACGGGCUGUAGCAAUACAGUUAGUGGCAGACGGGUGAGUAACACGUAGAUAACGUACCCCUCCGCUGGGGAUAGCCACUGGAAACGGUGGGUAAAACCGAAUACUCUGUCUUUGGGGCAUCCUGAGGACAGGAAAAUUCCGGUGCGGAGGGAGCGGUUUGCGUCCUAUCAGCUAGUUGGUGAGGUAACGGCUCACCAAGGCGACGACGGGUAGCCGGUCUGAGAGGAUGAUCGGCCACACUGGCACUGAGAUACGGGCCAGACUCUUACGGGAGGCAGCAGUGAGGGAUUUUGCGCAAUGGAGGAAACUCUGACGCAGCGACGCCGCGUGCGGGACGAAGCCUUUCGGGGUGUAAACCGCUGUCAGUGGAGAAGAGAUAGGACGGUAUCCACUGAGGAAGCCUCGGCUAACUACGU